rnacentral:rRNA from 1 species
UACAGAGGGGGCAAGCGUUAUUCGGAAUUAUUGGGCGUAAAGGGCGCGUAGGCGGCUUGGCAAGUGGAAGGUGAAAUCCCUCGGCUCAACUGAGGAACUGCCUUCCAGACUGCUUUGCUUGAGUCCGGGAGAGGUGAGUGGAAUUCCCAGUGUAGCGGUGAAAUGCGUAGAUAUUGGGAGGAACACCAGUGGCGAAGGCGGCUCACUGGACCGGAACUGACGCUGAGGCGCGAAAGCCAGGGGAGCAAACGGG